CCUACGGGAGGCAGCAGUGGGGAAUAUUGCACAAUGGGGGAAACCCUGAUGCAGCGACGCCGCGUGAGCGAAGAAGUAUUUCGGUAUGUAAAGCUCUAUCGGCAGGGAAGAAAAUGACGGUACCUGAAUAAGAAGCUCCGGCUAAAUACGUGACAGCAGCAGCGGUAAUACGUAUGGAGCAAGCGUUAUCCGGAUUUACUGGGCGUAAAGGGAGCGUAGGCGGCCUGCCAAGUAUGAUGGGAAAUACCUGGGCUUUACCCCGAGGCUGCAUUGGAAACUGUCAGGCUUGAGUGCCGGAGAGGCAGGCGGAAUUCCUAGUGUAGCGGUGAAAUGCGUAGAUAUUAGGAGGAACACCAGUGGCGAAGGCGGCCUUCUGGACUGUGACUGACGCUGAGGCUCGAAAGCGUGGGGAGCAAACAGGAUUAGAUACCCUUGUAGUC
rnacentral:rRNA from 1 species